rnacentral:ncRNA from 2 species
CGGCUCAACUCUGGAGAGCGGCCGCGGCGACAAGAAUCAGCCGGCGGCCCACCGAAGGGGCGCACGGGGCACUGCCCCGUAAUCUCUCAGGUACCAAGGACAGAGGGGUCUGC